rnacentral:rRNA from 1 species
AGAGUUUGAUCCUGGCUCAGGACGAACGCUGGCGGUGCGCCUUAUGCAUGCAAGUCGAGCGAAGCUUUUCAGUAGUUUACUACAGAAAAUGACUGAGCGGCGAACGGGUGAGUAACGCGUGAGCAAUCUACCUUAGUUACAGGGAUAGCCCGAGGAAACUCGGAUUAAUACCUGAUAUUCUUUAUUUCUCGCAUGAGAAUAAAAGGAAAGGUCAGCCGAACUAAGAUGAGCUCGCGUUCUAUCAGCUAGUUGGUGAGGUAAAAGCUUACCAAGGCUACGACGGAUAGCUGGUCUGAGAGGACGAUCAGCCACACUGGGACUGAGACACGGCCCAGACUCCUACGGGAGGCUGCAGCAGGGAAUAUUGUGCAAUGAACGAAAGUUUGACACAGCGACACCGCGUGUGGGAUGACGGAUCUAGGUUUGUAAACCACUUUCAGGAGGGAAGAAAAUGACGGUACCUCCACAAGAAGCCCCGGCCAACUACGUGCCAGCAGCCGCGGUAAUACGUAGGGGGCGAGCGUUGUCCGGAUUUAUUGGGCGUAAAGAGCUCGUAGGCGGUUCAACAAGUCGGUCGUGAAAGUUCAGGGCUCAACCCUGAAAUGUCGAUCGAUACUGUUGUGACUAGGAUACGGUAGAGGUGAAUGGAAUUCCGAGUGUAGCGGUGAAAUGCGUAGAUAUUCGGAGGAACACCAAUUGCGAAGGCAGCUCACUGGGCCGCUAUCGACGCUGAGGAGCGAAAGCUAGGGGAGCAAACAGGAUUAGAUACCCUGGUAGUCCUAGCUGUAAACGAUGGAUACUAGAUGUAGGAACUGGAUUGACGGUUUCUGUAUCGCAGCUAACGCGUUAAGUAUCCCGCCUGGGGAGUACGGUCGCAAGACUAAAACUCAAAGGAAUUGACGGGACCCCGCACAAGCGGCGGAGCAUGCGGCUUAAUUCGAUGAUACCCGUAGAACCUUACCUGGACUUGACAUAUAGGGAAAAGUUAUAGAAAUAUAAUGUGCAUUAGCGCCCUAUACAGGUGGUGCAUGGCUGUCGUCAGCUCGUGUCGUGAGAUGUUGGGU